rnacentral:lncRNA from 1 species
UCCAAACUAGGAUAAGAAAAAUACAAAACCAAAAAAGAAGGAACAGCAAACAGAACAGUUAGCAGCACAUACACAACAAGUAUCACUGCACUUGCAGGAAUUGCAUACAACACAAUCAGCAAAAACACCAACACCAACGGAAACUUCGCGCUCACUUCAACCAACAAAAACACCACCUUCCGAAUCGACGAAUGCACCCCAACAACCCGACUAUAGCCCACAACGGGCCCAGACGAUCGACCCGUUUGACCAUCACUUAAAGUCAACUUUGGUGCAUCAUUCACUUUAACAGUUCCACUGCUCAUUCUCUCAACCAUCCACAAAAGGAAGUAGUUCUUUCUAGGAAACUUUAAGGUUCCUUUUAGUACAACACGGGGCGAUAGAAGGUUGCACCAGGGGCAGGUUAUUAGAAGGGGUAACCGAACGGGUACAGGAUGGGCCUUGACGACGGCCCAGGGAAGAGCUAAUACGCAGUUUUUGCAUAGCGAGUGGCCACACCAUAAAACGUAAGGUACGUUUUCGACUAUGUUGAAGGAUUCGCAACAUAUAGGGCACUCUAGUCCGUCGUCUUUACUUAUUAUGGAAGAUGUUUCGUCGUCUGAUGAUUCUUGAACGCCUUGUGUUAGUUUUCUGAAGCGGUUGCGAAAUGGUAGCCCACAUGUGCCAGCUAGACAUUUGGAUGCAAAAUUCCACAUAUGGAUAGGAUUAUAAUCUUACUAUGAACAGGAUAUCAGUUUGAAGGAACAAAUGAUCCUAUGUGGUCUUACGGAGUGUGUAUGAGAGAAAAUGGAGAGUAAUUUGC